GGCGCCGUCGCCAAGUGGUAAGGCAGGAGUCUGCAAAACUCCCAUCAUCGGUUCGAUUCCGAUCGGCGCCU
rnacentral:tRNA from 1 species